rnacentral:rRNA from 1 species
UACAGAGGUGGCAAGCGUUGUUCGGAAUUACUGGGCGUAAAGGGCGCGUAGGCGGCCCACUAAGUCAGACGUGAAAUCCCCCGGCUUAACCUGGGAACUGCGUCUGAUACUGGAGGGCUUGAGUAUGGGAGAGGGAUGCGGAAUUCCAGGUGUAGCGGUGAAAUGCGUAGAUAUCGGGAGGAACACCUGUGGCGAAAGCGGCUCUCUGGACCACAACUGACGCUGAGGCGCGAAAGCUAGGGGAGCAAACAGG